UACGUAGGGUGCAAGCGUUGUCCGGAAUUAUUGGGCGUAAAGAGCUCGUAGGCGGUUCGUCGCGUCGGCUGUGAAAACCCGGAGCUCAACUCCGGGCCUGCAGUCGAUACGGGCGGACUUGAGUGUUGCAGGGGAGACUGGAAUUCCUGGUGUAGCGGUGAAAUACGCAGAUACUCAGGAGGAACACCGGUGGCGAAGGCGGGUCUCUGGGCCGAUACUGACGCUGAGGAGCGAAAGCGUGGGGAGCAAACAGG
rnacentral:rRNA from 1 species